UACAUGGGGUGCAAACGUUGCUCGGAAUUAUUGGGCGUAAAGCGCGUGUAGGCGGCUUUGCAAGUCGGGUGUGAAAGCCCUGGGCUCAACCUAGGAAGUGCACUCGAAACUUCCGAGCUGGAGUGCUGGAGAGGAAGGCGGAAUUCUCGGUGUAGAGGUGAAAUUCGUAGAUAUCGAGAGGAACACCGGUGGCGAAGGCGGCCUUCUGGACAGCUACUGACGCUGAGACGCGAAAGCGUGGGGAGCAAACAGG
rnacentral:rRNA from 1 species